CCGGUCAUCCCCCUGCCCGGAGGGCUGAGAGGCAUCUGACUCUGGCUCACGCCCCAGGGUGGGCCUGGCCAGAGCAGGCACUCCAGAAAUAGCAGUUUAUGAAUUAGUGAGCUCCUAGGGUUGAGGCGGCUGCCAUUUGACAGCCAUGCUCUUGGAGUCACACUCCUGACCGCACAGACCGACAGGAAAGGCAGUGAGGCUCUGAGAAGCCCACCGAGACACCCCCAUCCCCCGGACGCCCUGUGCAUGGUGGAGCUACCAACCACACCUGGGUCCACGUCCCACCUCCGCCACUUCCUCGCUGUGUGAUGCAGAAGAGGGUGCUUCCCUCUCUGAGCCUCAGCAUCCCCAUCUGUAAAAUGGGCUGAUGUCUGUCCCUCACUGUGCGCCAGGAGCAUCUAAGAAGUGAUGUCUCUGAGGCGCUCAGCACAGGGCUGGGGAAACAAGUGGCUGUUGCUAUUUUGUUACUAUUAUUGUUAGAACAGAGACCCUCCAGCUCCGGAGAAGGUCAGGCCUGCCUGCCACAAGGAGUUCCAGGGGAGCCUGGCCUCGUGGGCCGGGCCGGGCAGGGGGUGUCACGGGGGCCCGAACAAAAGGGCUUCUCAGGGAAGAGGCAGUUCUGGCAGGAAAUGGCCAGCAGAGCGCUCGACUGUGGCCCUAGUGGGGGAGGCCAGGCUGGGGAGGUGGCCUAGCCAGGCGAGCAGCCAGGCCGAGGGAAGGAGGUCCCCUCCUUGGGCCACAGCCCGGUGGGUAGCCGCUCACUGAGCACUUACUGUGGGCCAGGCCGGGAGGAGAGCGAUUGAUGAGGUCCGGCCGGCCCAGGGGUCAGGGCCGAAGGGCUGCUGGCAGGAAGCGGUCAUCAUCAUCCGGGACUCCCAGGGGCCCUCAGGCUUAGGUUGGGGGGUGGGGAGGGGUUCUUGGGGCACUCUGUCCCCCCUGUAGCAUGUGGGGCCUGGGCAGCCAGGGGGACACAGAGGGCCUGUAAAUCCGGGGGGUCUGUCCCCCUGCUUAGCCUGGGCUCCUGGGGCAGGGGUCCCGCUGGGGGGGCUCUAGGAUUUCCCCGACCCCAUACCAGGCUGAGGGCCAAGGAUGAGACGAUGUGGAGCGGCAGGACCACGUCCUGGGGCACCCUGGUGUCGCCCAUCCUCCCAGGCCUCAUAGCAAACACACAGGGCAGCACGCCCCACACCCAUCUGAGGGCCCGGGCCGGGGGAUCCUGCCUCUCAUGACCCUGAAUUCAGAACAACUGUGUCCACCGGAGAGUCAGCCAAGGGUCACAAAGGAGGGCCAUGAAGCCUUAGCCCGUGCCUGCUGUCCCCGCUCACGCCUGUCCAUCCUGGGGGAUCCUUGAGCUGCUGUCAAGUCAGGGAAGAGCCUGGCUCUGAGCUGUGGGGCCCACUCCAAGCCGUGGCUCCAGAGACGGGGGCUCCCAGCCCCACUCUGCCCCAUCACCCUGUGUAAUGAGGGAACCUGGGGAGCGUACGGUUCCCUUAAUCAUCAGGCUCAGGUGCAGAGAAGGCCUCUACCCACCUGGGGGAAUUCCACCUGCCAAGGCUUGGGGAGAUUUUAAACUGUGGUGAAUGAAGUUAAAAUGAGCCAGUCUGGAGCCCCCGCCCUCCUCCAGCUCACAGACACUUGGGCAGGAAGUCUCACACCUUCGGAGGGAAACACCUCCUCCAGGAGGCCUCGGGGUUGACUCCGGGCCACAGGGAGCGUUUCUGUCUUUCCCACCCACAGCACCAACUUCUCUAGCAGCCUGGACCCCAUGCCCAGGGAGGCCCAAAGAGCUAGGGGACGCGGCUCCCUGCCCUUCCACACCAUUCACACUGGUCAGACUGGAGAAGCCUGGGGCAAGCAGGGAGCAAGGGCCCCGGGGCCCUGGGGAGGCCGAGGGGUGGGUUCUGCUCUGGACCAGCGGAGCCAGCAGGGCCCUGAUGCACCCUCUCGAAGUCACCUAGUGUCCAGGGACAUUUAUCAGGCUGCCAGAACAGGAACUGUCCUCCAGCUGCCUCUGCCCCCACCCUCAGCCUGACACCCCGGCCACUGACCCAGCCAGGAGUGGGGAAAGCCAAGACUCUCUGAACGCCACCCCCUGCCUGUCUCAGCAUGGGACUUCUUCCUUCAAGUGAGGACCUCCCCCAACCCCCUCCCCACCGCAGACCAUGCCACUUCAUAGUAUCGGGAGGGGUGCGCUCAAGCUUCCCGCUCCUGUGCAUCUCUCCUCACACUCAUCACCCUCUCUGGGCCCUCCUGUGAGAAGAUACCAGAGUGCCAGCUCUCAAAGGGCAGAUUCUGUGCCAAAGGCCCUCUUUUGUGUCCCGUCCUACCCCCAUCCCCGCCUCGAAAGGCCAGCCCCCCAUCAGGCGCCCUGUGAGUCAGCUCCCGGUGAGCAGGGCACAGACUUCCUCCCUCCCAGGCCUCCCUGGGGACACAAGGGGCAGCGGCAGGCUCCCCCCAGCCAGCCAGGGUGGGGGCCCACAUCCGGGCAGGCCCCCAGGGGCUCUGGGCCUGGCUCACGAGGAAGCCUGCAGCCCGGCCCCCCUCGCCGACCCCUGUCAGGGUGGCGUGGGAGGAAAAACCUUCCAGCCAUCUGCUCAGCUGCCGGGUUUCCGGCCGAGGCGGGGCCGGGACGCCAGGAGGACCCGCUCUCCCGGGGAAGUGCCCCUUGCCCCUGCUGGGAGGAGGGACACAAGAUGAGCCGCCCAGGGGAACCCUGGAGUCCCGACUGAGGAACGCAGGGCGCCCAGGCCUCGGGGCCCAACUGAGCAGGUACUAUUAUCACACCCACUUGACAGAUGAGGAAACUGAGGCUGGCGUGGUCAGGCAAGGCCGCACGGCCAGGAAGCACCAUCACCUCCUCCUGCCUGGGUCUUCAGAAUUCCUCUCCCAGACUCGGGACCCCGAGAGCUGCAGGUGCAGGAGGCGCUCCAGGGAAGCUGAGGAACGACAUUCCACGACAGUGACCACGACGCUAACGGUGGUGACGAUAAAACCACCCCCCACACCUGUACGUGGACCUUUCUCUGCCAGGCAGCAGGUGCUUUUCACACACUGACUUAUUAAAUCCCUACCACGAACUUGUUAUUACCCCAUUUCGCAUAGCGGGAAACUGAGGUCCGUUAAGUGUCACUUGCCCGCGACCUCAGCUGGAAAGAGACAGAGGGAGAAUGGAAGUCUCCAGACCCUCCUCUGCUGAGCCUCCUGACGGUCCUCAGACCCCAGCAGCGGAUACCGCCGGCUGCCGCCGUGGCCCGCAGGGACUCGCCAAGUUCUAGGAAUGCUCACCCUUUGGCUCAGAAGGAUUUCCCCUCCCAUAGAGGGGGUUGUGGGAAAGGCUCAGAAAAACCGUAUUAAAAACCCUUCCAACUUCCCCAACGGGCCCUGGCCUCUCAUCUGCUGACCCCAGCCGCCCAGGCGGCCUCGCCUGCUCUCCCCCCAUCAGGGCUGAGUCUCUGGCCCCCGCAGGCCCCGGGGAGCCUCCAGCGCCGUUUCCGCUCUGGCAGCCAGGUCAGUGAUGGGAAAUCCAGACACAACUCGCGCCCACAACCCUGGAGACCCAUGCGCCCACCGCCCUGGCAGGGGCCCCGGGCUGGGCUGUAAAUGGGGAGGCAGGAUGGGCUGGCUGUCCCAGCUGCGCCUGGCAGCUGGCAGGGGUCAGGGGAUGCUUAUGCCCCAGGCAAGGGGGGUGUAGGUCAGAUCUCGGCCCCUCCUGCCCCAAAGCUGGACCUUGGCCCUGCAGACCCGGCCUUGCCAGGCCCUCUGCUCCAAAGCCCCCACCCGCAGCCCGAUUUCACUUCCUCCCACUCAGUCAGGCCUGGCCAUGCCUCUCCCUGGAGGCCCCCAGCUGCAGGCAAUGACCUCCUCACCUACAUCAUCGUGCCCGGGAAUGGGGAAGAGAAACAGGAGAAUGAGGAAACUAAAGAAAAAAAAGAAGCGGGACAAGCAGGCAGGCAGGACCCCUCCCCAGUUCCUCAAAUGCAGUCCCCACCGCCCCAAAAGCCCCCGAUGGCCAGAGGGAGGGCACGGAGGGGAUUUCUGCACCAGACACUAAGGGCCUCUCAAAUACCCUCCCAGCUGGCCCCUGACCUAGAGCGCCAACACACCCCCAGCCUGUUUUGGGUGGGAGGGUUUUCCCGUGGCCCAGGUCAGGGGUGUGAGGGUACCCGCCAAAGAGACCUGAGCUCUGGGAUCCCUAACCUCUGGGAACCCCCAAAUUCAGUGGCAUGGGGCCGCUUGGCCAGGCUCACCUCGGUGAUGCAGAAAGUGGGGAGAGGGGCUUCUGGAAUCGGGGGCUCCCUCUUAGCCACAUGGCCUGGGGCAGUAGGGAGGGGCCGCGCCGGAGGGCUCUUCCAUCUCGCAGCCUCAGUUUCACUACUUUCACUUUCAAGGUACCGAGCGGUGACCCCCCCCCGACCCCUCCCACCAGACACAAGUCGAGGGGGAUGCUGCCUCUACAGGCGGGGCCGCUUUAAGGGGUGGCCUGGGGGUAGGAGCCGCAGCCUCUGCGGGCGCCUCCCCCACCGCCUGGCUCCCCACUCCAUCCCAGCACGUGUGUGGGUGGGGUGUCGGCCGGGAGGGUGUCGCAGGAGCCGGGGAAGGGUCCCCCCGAGCGCCCCCACCUGAGUGAGCGGCAGGACAGCGUUUCAGGCGGGGCCCGCUCCAGGCGCCAGCCACAAAGACGCUCCGCUGGUCACAGCAGCCAAGGCUGGAAACAACCUAACAUCCGUCAGCGAUGAAAGGACAAAGGAGGCGGCAUGUCCACACGGCGGGACAGGAUUCAGCCACAAAGGAACAGGGUACGACACGCGCUGGAACAGGGUCGGACCCUGAAAACGUGAUGCUCCGUGAACAGAGCCAGACUCCAGAGGCCACGUGCUGUGUGAUUCCACGCAUGGAAACAUCCAGAACACGUGAACCCCUGGAGACAGGGAGCAGACGGGUGGUGGCCGGGGCUGGGGGAGGGGACGGGGAGCGAGGCUGAUGGGGACGGGCUCUUACUUUGGGGUGAUGGAAACGUUCUCAAAUUCAACUGAGGCGGUAGCUGCACUACCUUGUGAACAGACUAAAUGCCACCGAUUGUCCACUUGCUUUUACUUUUGCUGGUGACUUUUUAAAUUUGGAAGCUGUAUCUUUUUUUUUAAAUCUAUUUUCAGCUUUAUUGAGGUGUAAUGGACGAACAAAAUUGUAACAUAUUUCCAGUAUCCACGUGACAAUGGGAUACGUGUCUGCACUGUGAAAGGGUUCCUCCCCUCUAGUUAAUUCACACGUUCAUCAUUCUAUACAGAUUUGUUUUGGGGAGAAUAUCGAAGUUCUGCUGCCUUUGCAAAUUUCAAUUCUAUAAUUCAGUGUUACCAACACGUCUCCAUGUUAUACGUUAUGUUCACUUUAAAAUGAUUUUUUAAUGUGAAUUUCACCUCAAUUAAAAAAUAAAUAAUAAGGAAUAAUAAUUUUUAAAAGAUGCCAGGGCCUUGCUCCGAUUUCUGCCUUUUUCGCCCAGGUCAAAUCUCAACUCUAGCAUGAGGGGCUCUGAGAGCCAAGACUCACAGACCUCUGGGAAGUUUUACCCACACCAAAGCCCAAAUGUCCU
ensembl:lncRNA